CAAGUCGAACGCACUCUCGUUAGAUUGAAGAAGCUUGCUUCUGAUUGAUAACAUUUGAGUGAGUGGCGGACGGGUGAGUAACACGUGGGUAACCUGCCCUAAAGUGGGGGAUAACAUUUGGAAACAGAUGCUAAUACCGCAUAAAACCUAGCACCGCAGGGUGCAAGGUUGAAAGAUGGUUUCGGCUAUCACUUUAGGAUGGACCCGCGGUGCAUUAGUUAGUUGGUGAGGUAAAGGCUCACCAAGACCGUGAUGCAUAGCCGACCUGAGAGGGUAAUCGGCCACACUGGGACUGAGACACGGCCCAGACUCCUACGGGAGGCAGCAGUAGGGAAUCUUCCACAAUGGACGAAAGUCUGAUGGAGCAACGCCGCGUGAGUGAAGAAGGUUUUCGGAUCGUAAAACUCUGUUGUUGGAGAAGAACGUAUUUGAUAGUAACUGAUCAGGUAGUGACGGUAUCCAACCAGAAAGCCACGGCUAACUACGUGCCAGCAGCCGCGGUAAUACGUAGGUGGCAAGCGUUGUCCGGAUUUAUUGGGCGUAAAGCGAGCGCAGGCGGUUUCUUAAGUCUGAUGUGAAAGCCUUCGGCUCAACCGAAGAAGUGCAUCGGAAACUGGGAAACUUGAGUGCAGAAGAGGACAGUGGAACUCCAUGUGUAGCGGUGAAAUGCGUAGAUAUAUGGAAGAACACCAGUGGCGAAGGCGGCUGUCUGGUCUGUAACUGACGCUGAGGCUCGAAAGCAUGGGUAGCAAACAGGAUUAGAUACCCUGGUAGUCCAUGCCGUAAACGAUGAGUGCUAGGUGUUGGAGGGUUUCCGCCCUUCAGUGCCGCAGCUAACGCAUUAAGCACUCCGCCUGGGGAGUACGACCGCAAGGUUGAAACUCAAAGGAAUUGACGGGGGCCCGCACAAGCGGUGGAGCAUGUGGUUUAAUUCGAAGCAACGCGAAGAACCUUACCAGGUCUUGACAUCCUUUGACCACUCUAGAGAUAGAGCUUUCCCUUCGGGGACAAAGUGACAGGUGGUGCAUGGUUGUCCUCAGCU
rnacentral:rRNA from 1 species